rnacentral:rRNA from 1 species
AACGAACGCUGGCGGCGUGCUUAACACAUGCAAGUCGAACGCGAAAGGGACUUCGGUCCUGAGUAAAGUGGCGCACGGGUGAGUAACGCGUAGAUAACCUGUCUUCGUGUCUGGAAUAAUACGCCGAAAGGAGUACUAAUACCGGAUAUUCUUGCUUUAUAUAAGUUUUGCAAGCAAAGGUGGCCUCUGCAUAUGCUACCGCAUGAAGAGGGGUCUGCGUACCAUUAGCUAGUAGGUAGGGUAAUGGCCUACCUAGGCGACGAUGGUUAGCGGGUCUGAGAGGAUGAUCCGCCACACUGGCACUGGAACACGGGCCAGACUCCUACGGGAGGCAGCAGUGAGGAAUAUUGCGCAAUGGGGGCAACCCUGACGCAGCGACGCCGCGUGAGUGAGGAAGGCCUCGGUCGUAAGACUCUGUCAGAGGAAAGAAGUAGCAUAG